UACGUAGGUGGCAAGCGUUGUCCGGAUUUACUGGGCGUAAAGCGUAUGCAGGCGGGAUCUUAAGUAGGAAGUGAAAGGUUGGAGCUUAACUCUAACACUGCUCCCUAUACUGGGAUUCUUGAGUGCCGGAGAGGAAGACGGAACGACACGUGUAGCGGUGAAAUGCGUUGAGAUGUGUCGGAACACCAAUGGCGAAAGCAGUCUUCUGGACGGAUACUGACGCUGAGAAUACGAAAGCCAAGGUAGCAAACAGG
rnacentral:rRNA from 1 species